CAAUAGGCCUAUGAAAAUAUUUAAUCCUGAUUAUGUAUUCAAAGGAAUACAAAAUAACAUAUCAAAAUAAACUAUUUUAACCUAUCAAAUAGUGAGAUUGACAAACCCGUUGUGAGACUCAGGGAUAGGUAAAGUGGAGUAGAAGGAAAGGAUCAAGUUCUCUCUCCUAGGAAACAGAGUUAGCUCUAGCCUUAAAGUAGAGAUGAUCAAGAAGGAAACAUGCAUCUAUAGCCAUAUCACCAUGAAUGUGCCCAAUCUCAUCUGAUCUUGGAAGCUAAGCAGGGUUGGGCCUGGUUAGUACUUGGAGGGGAGACUGCCAGGAAUACCAGGUGCUAUAGGCUUUUUUUUUUUUAAGGAAACAUUUUAGAGAAGUGAUGCGUUAAAUAUUAUAUUGAUCUUGAAGGAAGGGAAAUGCACCCUGCUUGAGGCAAUGAAAGGUAGUAAUAAAUUUUUUAAUCUAUUGAAUCAGAAUUGCCACCAUUGUCUCAAAAAACUCUCAUCCUGACUCCAGUGAGUAGUGUGACUUGGUAUCCCAACUCUGGAGAGUAUCAAAAGCCCUAAGCCAUGCAUACCCUUUGGUGCACUUUCUAGGAAUAUAUAUCAAGGAAUUGAUGACUAUGCCACAGCAUUUAUCCACAACGGCAUCUGUCACUGUAUCAUUUAUAAAAACAAGGAAAAACAACAACAAAAAGCAAACCAACCCCCACCAAAAUAAAUGACAACAAAGAAAAACAACCAAAGGGCACUGGGGGAUACAUGAUGAAACCUUCAUACAAAAGAGAUACUAGGUAGCUUUGGAUGUAGGAAAAUACAUAAUAACAUGGUAAGACAAACAUGAAAUAGCGGAAUCAGAUUUCAAAGUAGUAUGUUUGUAGUUUUACAUACAUAAAAGGUGCACACAAAGUGAAAAUUCGUCCAAAACCCAGCAAUUUCCCUUGGGAGUGGGGUGGGUAGGAGUAGGAUGUGAUUUUGCAUGCUGUUUGUAUUUCCCAUUUCUCAAUGUAUUUGCUCUAGUGCCCCUGAAACUUCCCACUUAGCUGCUUUCUUGCCCUCUCCUGACUCAGUCUCUUAGGUCCCAAUCAAUCUCUGGAGGUGGAAUGGAAGGAAGACAGGUAGACCCAUCUCAGGGUGGCCACAGCUGCUCCCACUGGGGAGUUCCAUUUGGAGAAGGCUCUCAGGUCUACCCCUCAUCCAAGCCCUGGAUUUCUUCUGGACCUCACCCAGAAAGGACAGGGUCAUCUUCCAUCUUUGCUAUUCCAUUCCACCAUUCUUCCAGCCCAAUUCCCUGCCUCUCCAAGGGGCACUGGUAGCUCAGGAAAAGAGCUUCUUCUUGGGGCUCUGUUUCAGACUUGGUUCCUGUCUUUGGUUUCUCUGUAAAACAGGGAUAAUGGUUAGGUGGUUGUGUGAUAAUGAUGAGAUUAGGAAUGCAAAGCACCUAGUAUGGUGCCUGGCACAUGGCAGGCUCUCAUCAGAGGCCGAUUCCCUUCACUUGGUUCCUUUUCCCCACAGUAACAAGGCUGCUCCAGGUGAGACCUGAUGACAAACAAUGAACAGACAUCAUCGUAUUCACUGCUUACAAGCAUCCCAACGGAACCUUACUAAAAACUCCAGGUUGUGCACAGCUUGCCUGGCACCACACAGUAGUAAGUGGAAGAGCUGGGCUCAGGGCUCAGGGCUUUGGUCUCCUGGAGUCCCAUCGGAGCAGAACCGGCCUUCCUGCCUUUUCCUCUGUAGCAGGGAUGGGAGGGGUGAUCCUCCCUCUUCAAGAAGCCUUGGAGCCAGGCUCUGGGAGGAUCAUUUCCCAUCUUGCUUUGCCAAGUCAUGUGAUCCCUGGAGUGGGGAUAAAGAGGACCAUCUAGACAAAGGGGAGGGAAGAUCAAGGACUGGGGUCCAUUUCUCCUGUGUCUGAGCAUAGCCCUGUGUCCUCAGGAUGCCUCCCCACCCCCACCCAGGGGCCCUAUGGGGCUUCCUCUAACACUACCCUCUGCCCUCCCUCCCCCGCCUUUUGCCUGCUUGCCAACCCUUACAGCAGCCACUAGGGAGGUCUCUGGUGGGAGCCACUAGGGAGGGGGGCUCUGAUGGGACAGAAUUUGCUUCCAAGGUUGGGAAAGGGAAGCAGGCUUCCAGGGCCAGGUCCUUUAUCUUCUCCAAGAUUCUGCAGUAACCUUGCUGGUAGGGAGGCAGUGGGAGGUGGCCUCAGGCAGGGAGAGGAGUCUCAGUGCUACACAAAAUGACCUGUGUCGAGUCUGUUUCAGUUCACUUCACCCUAGUCCACCCUCAGGAUUCUACUGACUUAAGACACUUUUGAUCGCCAGACUCUAAAAAGGAAAGGGACUUAUGUUUUGGGUCGUUGAACAAAGGUUGUCAACAGAACAAGCAGCUACCUCUCGGGGCCAGGCUAGGAUGCUGCCUGCUUCUCAUGGGGCAGUGGUCCAGGUCAAGUCGGUUCUCAGCACAGCCUCUGAACAGGAAACACGGUCCCUGCCACAGCCUCCCCCAGCCCUAGCCCUCAGAGGCUUCUCCCUGCCAACUCCUGGCCAUGGGAGCUGGUGACCUCACCAUGGGGCCUCUCCACCCGGGGCCACUGCAUCACCCCCACCAGACACGGGAGGCCUCCAGUUGGGAUUUUAGUGUAUUAAACCAAGGACUUUUUUUUAAACUUAGAGAAAACAAGAAGACGUGACAACACCAGA
rnacentral:lncRNA from 1 species